AAGUGCUGAGCAUCUCUGGGAACGCCUUAAAGACUGUUGGAAGACCAUUUCAAAUGACUACCUCUUGGAGCUCAUCAAGAGAAUGCCAGUGUGUGCGAAGCAGUAAUCAAAACAAAAGCUGUUUUUCUGCUGUGUGCUGUUCUUUGCUCUGCGGAUGUUAUGAAUCAGAACUGUGUUUCCAGUUGGAAGGUGAAUUGUUUUCAUCCAGCUGACCACAUGAAUGCCUCUGAUCCUGUCAGCUUGAAGGUGUCAUUUGGUCAAAAACUCGUCGUCUCUUUGGAUGGCCUCCCUGAUGCCACCGUCUGUCAGUGGAGUGGAGCUCAAGGCUCUCUGCUGAAAAUGUAAUCAUAAUAUUGUUUUAAUGAGGGGUUGGAGUAUCCUCAAUUUUAAUCAUUCAAAUUGUGACAUCUUCUUAAAUGACUCCAGAG